CGAGUCUCAUAACAAAGGUUCUGAAUACUUCUGUGUAUAAGAUCAUCUCCACCACUGAGGAUUUGAGACACAAUGGAGAUAAACAUCUGUAAGAAUUUCCCACACUACGUGAUUUUUCCUAUACUCAAUAGAAGACUACACUGCACCAUGUGGUUGCUGCCUUAAAGGUUAAAUGUGUUGCAUAUUUUGUUAUGAUGAGUCGGUUAGCUUGUAAUCUGGUUAGAGAGAGGUACUGAUAUUGAUAUUGUGAAGGGUGUCGUCUCAAUCCAGAUUAGGGCCAAUUUGAUACCCCCUAUGCAUUGAGUGUGGAAAAUAAUGUGAAUACAGUCAUAUAAACUAUAUAAAUAAAGUUAGUUAAAUAUUAUUAAUUCAUUUGUUAGAGAUGCUUUGCUUCUGAGGUAAAUCUUCAGAAAUAAAGUUGCAAAUCACUAUUUUCAUCAGUCUGUCUAUACCAGAUGGUGUGUUGUGUUUUUAGCAAUAUGUUGUUGUGACAACAGUCUGUGUGUCUUCCUGUGAUAGUCAUCAUGUGGUUGGAAUCAUGUCUGUGUUUCCGUCAGUGAUUCUUUAGGUUGGAGUCAGACUCAUUACUUAAAUGUUCACCAGAAUCUGUUCAAUCACCUGCUAUAAGCAUAAUCCUAUGGAGUCCAACACUAUGGGUAUUAGAGAAUUAAAUUAAUACAAAUUCAAAAUGAUUAAAUUCAGAUUCAAUUUGUGGUGGCACUAAUAUCAUUCCAUACAGCACCCCGACAAAACAACAAUAUAGGCUAGUUUACCUAGUGUAAAUGUUUUGGUGUACAGGCAUAUGUAGGCCUAUGUGGGCUGGCUCAUGUUUGGUCGUUCCAAAUGAAUAAAACAUACCCUCAACUUUC